GCUUAAUGAGUGAUUAGUCAGUAUUGACUGAGAGUUUCUUCUCACUUUUUUUAAUGGUGACGCCACCUACACUUCCCAGUGUUUCCGGGACGUACGUGAACCAACAUGAAGAUCAGGGAUAACUAUUUGUUUAAAGACAUGUUCAUGUUUAUUUCAACCAGAGAAACAGAAAGUAAAACGUACUUAAAGUAAAGAUCAAACUGAGAUUCAGUAAACAGCAAACGCUGCUCUUUAAUCAGUUUUUUAAGCCAAAGUUAUGUAACAUGUUCUUAAAAGUUACAAAUGAAGAACAGAAACAUUUUAAAAGCAACACUUACCAACCGGAAAGUCUUAUUCUUGUGAAGAUAAACUUAGAUUCUUUCACUCUUCCCUCAAACUCCAGGUCAGGUGUUUACAAGUCAGUCCACGCUUCAGCUUCAGGAGCCACAACACAAAACAGCUGUCUACCACAUCUUCCUCUGAAUGAAAUGAGAUUUCCUACUCUGCUGCUGUGAGGAGUUCCCAAAAGCAGGGUCAGAAAACUGGCCUGACGGCUAUAUCGCUGCAUAGGAGAGUGUGUGACUUUUGGAAAACGGCUGAUUGGAUCUCUGAAAGUAUUUAAGGAAGGGGCGACCGAAACUAAGCACCCCCACGUCCCUUGAAGGGCCAACGAUGAUGAGGGGAUUAUUCAGGAGAUAAACUGUUGAAGAUACGAGUGGAGAGUUUUGCCACGAGCAGAAUUUAGAGAGGACAUCGUGUGUUGAGACAGGAAGAAAGCAUUCGCGAUGCAUGAUGUGACGACUGUAUUUCCUGUGAUAGAAUGCUGGAAGCGCUGAUUUCCCCUCAGGAGAAAACAAUUUACCAGAUGACCUGAACAAAGGCGGCAGUGUACUCUGAGGGUGCAUUUCAGGGAAAAUGAGGUGGUUCUCAAGAAGGAAACCGUUUUCCAGCUCAACAGGCUGCUAGCCACACUCAGCAACAAUGAAGCAACCAGAGAAAUCCCACUCUGGUCCACAUGUCUUACAGUGGAGCAGGAAGUAUCCAUACCCCUGAAAUCAAAAGCUACCACGUAGUUUACUGGUGUUUUCUGCUUCGGAGUAGAAAGAAAAGAAUAACUGGAGGAGCUGCAUGGGUUCACAGCUCAGGUUUGAGACUCAUUCAAUAGGACAGAAGAAAGAAAUUUUAAAAAAAAGUUAAUAAGCUUUAAAUCUGAUCAGAUGAGAACAAGACUGAACUUCUGACCUAAAUUCCAAAGAUUUUGCAUGUGGCAAGAUAUAUGGAGGUAAAUAUAGAACCGCCUUGGAGGAAAAGCUGUCAGAUGCACAAAAAAUCUAAGAUUGGGGCAAACAUUCAAUGGAACAGUUAGCGUCAAAGCAAAUAGCAUGGUCUAGUCAAAGUCCACCACUAAACAUCUGUGGCAAGACUUUGAAAUUGGUGCCUGCAAAUUAUCUCCAUUUUACUUGACUGAGCUUGAGAUGUUUGUUAUGAUUAAAAGUUCCCAUUUGUUGAUGUUUAACCCAAAGUGCUAACAACAGUAGUUGGAGCCACGCUUGGUUCUAUGACCUUAGAGGGAUUUUGAAAUUUAUAAUAAUAAAUAUCUGUCGAAAACAAUGAUCUUUUCGUUUGGUAGACUUCACAAGAAAAUAUUAGCUUUUUAAAUUACAAAUGUAUUUUUACAUCUAUCUGACUUUUGUUAACCACAUAUUUCUUGAAGAGGUUAACUUAUAUUUUUAUAGCGUUUCGAUGUUGCAGUUUAUGCUCCUUUCUCUCUUUUGUAUUUUUUGAUAUCACAAAUCAAAUACUGCUGGACUCUGCAAAAAUUAAUUUAUCAUAAAAUUAAAUCCUGUUAAUUUCUUUUACGAACUAGUCUGACUUCGUCAAUGUUAUAAAUGGUUCAGAAACUGAUAAGCAAAUAGACACCAUCUUGCCAAACUCCUCAGCCCUUCUUCCACAUUUUUGUCAAAAUUGGCAGAUUUUGUGUCACUAGAUCUGACUCCCACUUUUCAUUGGUGCUGCUCCCAAAAAUAAUUAUCAUUUUAUAUAUUUAAUAAUGUGGCAGGAAGAGGUGGAGGCUGCACCUGCUGGCAGGGUGAUUGCAAGCGGGCCAAUAGCGCCAGAGGGCGCUCAGUAUAAGAGGUGAGCUCCAGUCUGACGUUGUU